rnacentral:lncRNA from 1 species
CCUCACAAGUGUGAGUCAAAUAACUUGUAUUCUGAAACUUUGGCCUCUUCUAUUUCUUUCUUUAUAUAUGUAAUGAGAAUCUCUAACUCCAACUUCCUGAUUUCUCUGAUGAUUUGAAUGCUGCAGUCAGCCAGGGUAUGCGGGAUAUAAGCAAUCACUGCUGCAGGAAAGAUGCUGACUUGCGGUUCAUGGCCUGGCUCUGCUAGGCAGAGAGUAGUGACCCAGGUCACCCCUGUGACACCAUGGAGACCAUGUCAGAAACAGAAAUGUGCCAUUACGGGGCAACUAAAGAAGUCUGUCAUCUCUCAGGCCGUGUUUGUUGGCACUGGUCCCAAGCACCUGGUUAAUUCACAUCGCAACUUGGACUGCCAUGUUUCACACACCCAACAGCCACCAUAUUGGCCGGUGCAGCUCUGGAUCCUUGCUGCCCAUGGUGGCCUGCUAACCAGUUGCACCUGCACCAGCAGGCCAGCUCUAUCAAGUCAGAAGCUACAUUUCAGCAAGAUCCCCAGGUGAUACGUGUACACACUAAGGUUUGAACAACACUGGACUAACAUUAUCGGCUAAAAGCAAACUUGGAGCUUGUAGAAAGCAAGAAGGAGCUCUCCCCUCUCACCAUUCAUUCUUUGUGCCUCUUUUGAGACCCGCUCCUGAGAGCUUCAAAAAUAUAAUGCCUAGACCCCACUCCUGAGGUUCUGAUUUAAUUGGUUUAAGGAGGGACCUGGGAAAUAGGAAUUGCUUAAGAUGUUCCACAGGUGAUUCUGACAUGUAGCCCGGGUGGAGAAUCAUGGGCUAACCCAAUGCUAAACACUAUGGCGUCAUUCAGCCCUGCCAAACACACCUAAACUACAUUCUUGCGGGCU